UGACAUCUUUAGGAAUUAAAAAUUUUUAAGUUUUGGUGCACCGAGUGCUGUUUUUUUAAAAAAUUUCUACUCUUGCAGAGGAAGCCCAGCCUGCCUAUUAGAACCCCCAGCUUUAAUUUGCCGGUUUGGGGGGGCGGGUGUCUAAUUACUGACUCAAGUACCAGGGACAAAACCAUAUCUCAGAAAGUCUUCUGUCUACUUGCCUGGUUUUGUCUCUCAGCUGCUUCCCUUCCACCAUCUACAAAUCUUUAUUAACUCAAAUGAUUGAUAAUGAGUUAAUAAUAAAUCAAUGAAAUCAUUUCUUUGUUCACUUAGUCGUUUGUUCACAAAUGUUUAUUUAGUACCAGACACUUGGGGUUGGCACUGGAGAUAGAGUGAACAAGGUCAAGGCCUUGUCCUCUUGGAAGCCAGUCAAGGAGCCCAAUGCUACACAGGCCAUCACAAAACAGUAAUGGAAGACAGCGAGUGGGGCUGAGAGCGAGGAAGACAGUGUGGGGCCCGGCAUGGCCUAGGGAAGGAAGGCAUGUGAGGAAGCACAUUUUGAACUACACAUGAAUCGGACCAAGCCAGGCAAAGGAGGGCAGAGGGUAGAGGGUUCCCAGAGAAGGAGGGGCUGGCAUAAACGUCGUGGGGCAGGGGCGAAGGAGCUUUGAAGCAUUUCAGAAACUAAGAGUCGGUGUGCUACUGGGCAAGAGGGAGACACUGAGAGAAGUGGACGUCAGCCCGUGCGGGACCUCGUGCUCCGUGAUAAGGACCUCAGUGCCUGUAAGUAGGGCAAUGACGUUAUAAAAUUCAGGUUUUAAAAUAGCAUUCUGGCUACACGUGAAGAUGAGGUUGGGGAAGCUGAAGAGUGGGGUUGGACGGGAGGCUGUUUAUCGCCGGUGCACAGGAAGGAGCAGGUAAUGGCUCCAAGCAACAGAGAGCCCGCAGAAAGGGGUAGAUGAGAGACGUUCAGCGGCGAGAAUGGGCAGAAAGUGAUGAGCAGUUGGCUGCCCUGGGGAAUGGAAAGGGCGACUCUUCUACAGGAAAUGCUAGAACAUUGAUAAUCUGUGAUCAGAAUAGAGAACCCUAGGAAAGAACCCAAAACUCGCCCUUUGGGCAAUGGCCGGGGACACCAAGACGUGGAUCGUGGUGGGCACAGUCCUUAAAGUCUUGCAGAAGCGUGGACUUUUGCGCCUAACAGAAUCCCCUCGGGAGGUGACCUGUGGAAGGUUAUUAUGUGGAAUGGGGCAUGACAUUUCUUUGGGAUCUGUGGAUGUUUGUGGCUGGCCUAAGUAUAGCAAUGUCCGGGGGCUGUGAGCUGAAGUGCACCAGCCUGCGGUGGAUGGGACAUCGUGAGGCCUUGGCCAUGACCCUGAGAGUGUCUGGGUGGCUGUCACAACCCAAGGCACUGUCAGUGUUUCCUGUGAUAUCUGGGUGGGAGCACAGUGGGGCGAGCCUGUAGCUUCGAGGCCUGCUCCAGGACCUAUUCCACAUCCUUCCUAUAGUCUGUCUCCAUCUAGCGGGUGCUCCCUCUGCCAGGAGUGCCUACAGACAACCUUACCCUCCUUCAACUCUGUCUGGGGCAUUUUCGUGGGACCACCAGCACGAGGAUCACCUGGGGAGCUUGUUCCCAAGGCAGAUGCCGGGCCCCGUGUCUCUCUAUUGAAUGAGAAUUGCCAGUUAUAGGGCCUGGGGAUUGUAUUUGGGAUACAUUCCACAAGGAGUUCUCUUCAUAACCGGCCACAGGAAGCUAUUGACGUUAAUUUAAAUAAAACUCAAACUUCAGUUAGUUGGUAACACCAGCCACAGUUCACAUGCUCAUUGCCACUUAGAGCUGUAUGAACAUUUCCGUUAUGGCUGAAAGUUGUGCUGGAGGUGCUGGGGUGGGCAGGGAAAUGCCAGCCCACUAGAUCCUCCUAGUUUGGGGUCCCUGUCUUAGCUGAUGCAUUGCCCAUGAGAAUGGUCUUUCCUACAGGGAGUGACCACCCCUCUCCAGGCUACCUGAUUCCUGCAGUACAGCAUGUUCCAUCCCCUGCUUUGCAGCUUCGGGCUGUACCCGAUGGGUGGCCUCUGCCCUUGGAUGAGGUGGAGAAAGGACAGUGGAAAAUCCUCUGCCCAUGACUGUAGACUCCUGCAGUUGAUGGACUUCAGGGGUCUUCUAACUAGACCCAACCCCUUCUGAAUUAAGUUAAAGUCUCUUAACAUUUAAGAGUUCUUUCUAAUUGGGCUAACUUUUGUUUACUGGGUAAGAACUGCAUCCACUUGAACUUCCUUCCUCAUCUCAGUCUUUGAAGUUAUACAGACAUUGGAAAAGGUCAGCCCACCGUUUUUAGAAUUUUUGGCUCCCCAGCCUGACUUAACCUUUAACGUGCCUGAGCUGGUUAAGUUCAACCUUUCCAAAGAGGUGCCCCUCUAUAAUUCCAGUUUGAGAGUAUGGCAUCCUUGAAUGGACUUCUUUAAAGUUUGAAGGGUUUGACAAGGUCAUUUGAGAUGGACGUGGAUUUCCAAGUCUAAUUACAUCGCUUCCAGUCCUUUGCUUCUUGUGCCUCAGGUUUAUAAUUUUCUGACGAGAAUCUUGCACAUCUUCAGGACUCCUUUCCAGAACACCACAUCCCAAAUGGAUAGUUGCCUUGGCUAUGUCCAGGUGGUCUCUGGUGCCUAGGGGGUGAUCCAGGGUUGCUGUCGUGGUUGUCAUCUGACUGCCCCUCCCCUGCAAUGUGGCCGGUGUGGUGACACGUGGAUGCUGUGCAGGCUGGUGUAUUUAUGAGUGGUCCCUUGCCUUUUCUAGUUGGCACAUCCUCAAUAGGAAGGCCACAGUGCUUCUGUUUACGUGACAUAAUGACUCUUCAUUGAUCGGGUAAGACAAAAAGACUAACUCUCCAGAAAGCUCGGAACCUUUUUUGGCAGUUGGAUUGCUUGAAUCAGUGUAUAAACACACCCCCCACAUUGCAUUUGUGCAGCUUUUUUAAUGGUCAGUCUUUUUUCCUGGUCCUUCUUUUCAAUUUUUACCUUUGAAGUCUUGCAAUCCUUGCGAAUGAAACCAGGUUGCUUGCCCAGUAGGAUUUUUCAUAUGCUAACUUGCUGACUUCAUCCCCAUGGUGUCAUCUAGCCUGUUCCUCUGGCCCCUGGGUUUUGUGUUAACCAGGCGUUACAUCUAUAGCCUUGAGCACACUCAGGUUCUGGGUUUGGUUUGGUAGGACUACAUCAUGGGUGGUUCUGUGUCCUUCUCUGGCAUCACAUCGGGAAUUUUGUGAUGUUGGACUGAACGUUGGGUUCAGGGCUUAUCCUGAGGCUUCUGUCAUAAAGCUCAAUUUGAGCCUUUACCCUCCAGGGUCAGUGGCCCUCACCAACAACUUCUUAGAUCAGUUCUUUCUUUAGGUGAUGUUCUAGUUCUAUCAUUUCUUCUUCAUUUGUUACCUGGAAUUCUUCUAUAGAGAAGAACUUUCCCUUAUCAACUGUUGGUUACCCUGAAGUUGAGGGAAAGGCUUGGCCUUUGCCUCUUGGUGGCGACUGUAUUCCUCAAGUAUAGCACCUCACACUUGGGGCUUCACUCCAUGGUCACCUGCAUUCAUGCCAGGAUCCCUGGGGGUGCAGAGGUAUACCAGAGCCUGUCUCUAAAGCAGCUGAUGGGAUACAGGCUGUAAGCCUGACUCUGAAACCCCUCUGUAGAGACCUUAAUGUUCUUUUCUUUUAAAGCGAACAUGUCCCUACAUCCUCCAUGGCAGUAGAUACUUGGGGGUCAGAACAGGAGAGCAGGAACUGGUCUGAGCCUUGCUGGCAUGAAAAGGAGGGCUCUGAACUGGAGUCCAGACCUCACCUGUCCCUCAAGGGCUGUUUCCAUGCCAACGACAAUGGCAAAUUAAGGCAACUGUGUCACCGGCAAGCAGACUGAGUCAGACAAAAAGGAAGUGGCAGUAAAUUCUUCAAAGACCCACAUCCCAAAAAGACACGCCAGCCACACUUGUGCAAGUACAGCUGACAGAAAUAGAAGAAGGGCUUUUAUCUAAAAAUGUUAUGAAACAGGCACUUCUUUCCCAUCAGUGUACUGGUGGAUUUCGUUGUGGGUUGAAGUGGGCUAAACAUAAGUGGAGAACAGAAUUUCUUUCUUUCUUUCUCUCUCUCUCUCUUUCUUUCUUUCUUUCUUUCUUUCUUUCUUUCUUUCCUUCCUUCCUUCCUUCCUUCCUUCCUUCCUUCCUUCCUUCCUUCCUUCCUUCUUUCUUUCUUUCUUUCUUUCUUUCUUUCUUUCUUUCGAGAUUUUCUUCCUUACAAAAAACAUGUGGGCAGGUAGAAGAUGAUAUAAGAACCCUCACAGCAGGAGACUUAUUCUGGGAGACAGUUUAUUUACGCAUCAUAUUAAUUUCAUGGCAUUUCUAAGGCUACCCUUUCGGUUUCCACUGGCCUGAGGGUUUUGUUGGUCAGUUUCUUGGUUUUCUUUAAAAAUCUGACAUUCUCCAAUGGAGAUUCCCUCUGUGCUAUGUUAGUGACCAAGCAGUGCCCAGGUGACAAAUCUCAAUACCACAGAAAUUCCCUCAGGAAUUGUGGGAUAUGGUUUUCAUGCAUGGUUUUCACAAGGUAAUGAAUUAGUAACAUUUUUAGUAAAGUCCUGGUGGUAUUGUACAUUCAUAUUGAACAAAUAUAUAGAAUAUUAGGAAGUUGGUUAAAUGAAAAAAUAGAUAUUAAACAUCUUAUGUAUAUAUGAAAAAAAUGAUUUUGGAAACUUACUAAUAGCAUUAUCCCUAUACUUUAAGAAAUACAUUUGAAAUACACUUAAAUUUUCAGGGGAGAGUGGAUAAUGGGCAUUGAGGAGGGCACCUGUUUGGAUGAGCACUGGGUGUUGUAUGGAAACCAAACUGACAAUAAAUUUCAUAGUAAAAAAUGAAAUACACUGAAAUUUUGGAUCGAAUUUAUUACCAUACCAAAUAGGGUCAUGCUGAUGGCUUGAUUACAUUACUUCUUAUGCUCUUUGAUUACUUCUUCAAUCAAAAGUCCGUAUUUUUACAGUGGACCAUAAAUUACCUGCAUAGACAUUCCAUAGACUCUUUUUGCUCGCAAAGUUACUUAUUCAGAACUGAUGCUUUCUCCAAAGUAACCUUUGCAUGUAAAAUUUAAAUGCAAUCACCGAUGUAGAUGGCCAUAUAUUAUUAAUUAGCUAAUUAAUCAGUUUAUGCUCUGUUGUAUCCCAGAAAAGAUUCAAGUUUGCUUAAAAAAAAAAAAAAAAAA